AUUGUUCCGAAUAUCUGGAGAGGGAGAAAAUGAUGUUACUUCCAAUAUCGCAGGGGGCGUACAUGCUUCUGAGAUAUUGUUUCUUAGGUUCAGGGGGAGAGGAUGAUAUUACUGCCAAUAUCGCAGGGGUUGUACAUACCUCCUGCGAUGCGGGGAGUAAGAGCCAGCCCCUCUUCCCCCCCUGGCUCUUAGGACCCCCAUCGCAGGGGGGUGAGGCACCCCCCGCGAUGCGGGGAGUAAGACCCAGCCCCUCUUCCCCCCUGGCUCUUAGGACCCCCAUCGCAGGGGGCUGAGGCACCCCCCGCGAUGCGGGGAGUAAGAGCUAGUCCCUCUUCCCCCCCUGGCUCUUAGGAACCCCAUCGCAGGGGGUUGAGGUACCCCCCGCCAUGCGGGGAGUAAGAGCCAGUCCCUCUUCCCCCACUGGCUCUUAGGACCCCCAUCGCAGGGGGGUGAGGCACCCCCGUGAUGCGGGGAGUAAGAGCCAGCCCCUCUUUCCCUCCCUGGCUCUUAGGACCCCCAUCGCAGGGGGGUGAGGCACCCCCCGCCAUGCGGGGAGGGCUGAGACUGGGGUCUGGGCUGUUCCGGACUUCAACACUCACCCCUUGUCCCCACGCAGGGCUAUGGCGUGUGCUCGGUGGUGCUGGAGCGGCUGGCUUACCUCCUCAUGGCUUACAGCCUGGGCGCCUCAGUCGCCUCACUCCUAGGCCUGCUGGGCUUGUGGCUGCCACGCCCGGUGCCCCUCAUGGCUGGAGCAGGGGUGCACCUGCUGCUCACCUUCAUCCUCUUUUUCUGGGCCCCUGUGCCUCGGGUCCUUCAACACAGCUGGGUCCUCUGUGUGGCAGCUGCCCUUUGGGGUGUGGGCAGCACCCUGAACAAGACUGGACUCAGCACAUUCCUGGGAAUCUUGUACGAAGACAAGGAGAGACAGGACUUCAUCUUCACCAUCUACCACUGGUGGCAGGCUGUGGCCAUCUUCACCGUGUACCUGGGCUCGAGCCUGCACAUGAAGGCUAAGCUGGCGGUGCCGCUGGUGACGCUGGUGGCGGCCGCGGUCUCCUACCUGCGGAUGGAGCAGAAGCUGCGGCGGGGCGUGGCCCCGCGCCUGCCCCGCAUCCCGCGGCCCCAGCACAAGGUGCGCGGUUACCGCUACUUGGAGGAGGACAACUCGGACGAGAGCGACGCGGAGGGCGAGGAUGGGGACGGCGCUGAGGAGGAGGCGCCGCCCGCGGGGCCCAGGCCUGGUCCCGAGCAGGCUGGACUCGGCCGCCGGCCCUGCCCGUACGAACAGGCGCAGGGGGGCGACGGGCCGGAGGAGCAGUGAGGGGCCGCCUAGUCCCCGGACUCAGCCUCCCUCCUCGCUGGCCUUAGUUUACCACUUCUUAGGUCGGGGGGACCCCCUCCGAGUCCCGCGCUGUCUUCAAAGGCCCCUGUCUCCCGUCCCCCACGUUGGGGACGCCCCUCCCAGAGCCCGGGUCACCUCCGGGCUUCCGCAGCCCCCUCCAAGGCGGAGUGGAGCCUUGGGAACCCCUCGGCCAAGCACAGCGGUUCGAAAAUACAGCUGAACCCAGUGGGCCCUUAGCACGCGCCCCAGCACUGGAGCAGGGUCAGGGUCUUCUUGCGACCCGGCUCCGCUCCAGAUCCCCCCAGCUCUCGGCCGCGGACCCGGGCCGCGUGUGAGCGCGCUUUGCACCUCCUAUCCCCAGGGUCCGCCGAGAGCCACGAUUUUUUACAGAAAAUGAGCAAUAAAGAGAUUUUGUACUGUCCUGACUGGGGAGUCCCAGGCCGUGGGGGACGGAGCGCCCCUGGGAUGCACGCCCGGCU
ensembl:lincRNA